rnacentral:rRNA from 1 species
UACGUAGGGACCAAGCGUUGUUCGGAUUUACUGGGCGUAAAGGGCGCGUAGGCGGCGUGACAAGUCACUUGUGAAAUCUCUGGGCUUAACCCAGAACGGCCAAGUGAAACUGUUGUGCUAGAGUGCAGAAGGGGCAAUCGGAAUUCUCGGUGUAGCGGUGAAAUGCGUAGAUAUCGAGAGGAACACCAGAGGUGAAGACGGGUUGCUGGGCUGACACUGACGCUGAGGCGCGAAAGCCAGGGGAGCAAACGGG